rnacentral:rRNA from 1 species
CAGUCGCCACGGUAAUACGUAGGGUCCGAGCGUUGUCCGGAAUUACUGGGCGUAAAGAGCUCGUAGGUGGUUUGUCGCGUUGUUCGUGAAAACUCACAGCUUAACUGUGGGCGUGCGGGCGAUACGGGCAGACUAGAGUACUGCAGGGGAGACUGGAAUUCCUGGUGUAGCGGUGGAAUGCGCAGAUAUCAGGAGGAACACCGGUGGCGAAGGCGGGUCUCUGGGCAGUAACUGACGCUGAGGAGCGAAAGCGUGGGGAGCGAACAGGAUUAGAUACCCGCGUAGUCCCUGUCUCUUAUAC